UACGUAGGGGCAAGCGUUGUCCGGAAUCAUUGGGCGUAAAGAGCGUGUAGGCGGCCCGGUAAGUCCGCUGUGAAAGUCGAGGGCUCAACCCUCGAAUGCCGGCGGAUACUGUCGGGCUAGAGUCCGGAAGAGGCGAGUGGAAUUCCUAGUGUAGCGGUGAAAUGCGUAGAGAUUAGGAAGAACACCAGUGGCGAAGGCGACUUACUGGACUGUAACUGACGCUGAGGCAUGAAAGCGUGGGGAGCAAACAGGG
rnacentral:rRNA from 1 species